UACAGAGGGUGCGAGCGUUGUCCGGAAUCACUGGGCGUAAAGGGCGCGUAGGUGGUGGCUUAAGCGUGCGGUGAAAGCUCGGAGCUCAACUCCGAGUCGGCCGUGCGAACUGGGCUCACUGGAGCAUAGUAGAGGCAGGUGGAAUUCCGGGUGUAGCGGUGGAAUGCGUAGAGAUCGGGAAGAACAUCGGUGGCGAAGGCGGUCUGCUGGGCCGUUGCUGACGCUGAGGCGCGACAGCGUGGGGAGCAAACAGG
rnacentral:rRNA from 1 species